AGCCAUUUUGGCUCAAGGUACAAGUUGGGCUGUUGCGGUCACGCAGGCCUUUUUUAAUCGCUCUAUGGCCAACUCUGAAUCCGAAGUCAUUCUGCAUGGCGCACGUUCAUGCAUGUUCACCUCCUGGGAAUAAGUUGGAAAGCAUAUUUCCUACCUCUUCCUGCCCGUCAUCGCCAAAGUAUGGUAUUGUUAUGAUACUUGUCGACGCUCUCGUCAUCUUCACUCUUUGUUAAGCAUGGGAGCGCUUUCUCAAACCAGGCAUUUAGAUUGUCGCCUCUCGCAAGGCUUUCUAGGUGAGAAAGUUCACCGACGUGCGAAGAUUUCGAGACAUGUUUGAUCUUUCUUUCAACAUUCUUCCUCACCGUAGCCAUUUUGGCU
rnacentral:misc_RNA from 1 species